CUGGAGAGUGGCGCACGGGUGAGUAACGCGUGGGGACCUACCUCUUAGUGGGGGAUAACGGUUGGAAACGACCGCUAAUACCGCAUACGCCCUUCGGGGGAAAGAUUUAUCGCUAAGAGAUGGACCCGCGUUGGAUUAGAUAGUUGGUGAGGUAACGGCUCACCAAGUCAGCGAUCCAUAGCUGGUUUGAGAGGAUGAUCAGCCACACUGGGACUGAGACACGGCCCAGACUCCUACGGGAGGCAGCAGUGGGGAAUAUUGGACAAUGGGGGCAACCCUGAUCCAGCCAUGCCGCGUGAGUGAAGAAGGCCUUCGGGUUGUAAAGCUCUUUCAGAUGCGAAGAUGAUGACGGUAACAUCAGAAGAAGCCCCGGCUAAUUUCGUGCCAGCAGCCGCGGUAAUACGAAAGGGGCUAGCGUUGUUCGGAUUUACUGGGCGUAAAGGGCACGCAGGCGGUCUUGCCAGUCAGGGGUGAAAGCCCGGGGCUCAACCCCGGAACUGCCUCUGAUACUGC
rnacentral:rRNA from 1 species